CCUACGGGCGGCAGCAGUGGGGAAUAUUGCACAAUGGGGGAAACCCUGAUGCAGCAACGCCGCGUGAAGGAAGACGGUCUUCGGAUUGUAAACUUCUGUUCUCAGUGAAGAAUAUUGACGGUACCUAAGGAGCAAGCUACGGCUAACUACGUCCCAGCAGCCGCGGUAAUACGUAGGGGGCAAGCGUUGUCCGGAAUUACUGGGUGUAAAGGGAGCGCAGGCGGGAAUCCAAGUCGGCGGUGAAAACUACGGGCUUAACAUGUAGACUGCAGUUGAAACUGGAUUUCUUGAGUGAAGUAGAGGUUGGCGGAAUGCCGAGUGUAGCGGUGAAAUGCGUAGAUAGUCGGAGGAACACCAGUGGCGAAGGCGGCCUACUGGGCUUUAACUGACGCUGAGGCUCGAAAGUGUGGGGAGCAAACAGGAUUAGAUACCCCAGUAGUC
rnacentral:rRNA from 1 species